CCCCCAAAAAAAACAAGGGUAGGGAAGAUUCAGAGAAGCUGCACAGUAAAACUGUACUCCCAGAGGAAAUGAAACAUCAACAACCCACCCAGACCCAGGAAUCCAAAUAGUUUUGAAGCGGCAAGUGCCUUCGCUACUUCCCCUGAAAAUACUGAUCUGGAUGAAAAGUUAAGAAACAUGUAAAGAAAAAUCCCCGCGACAACUUUUCUUUCGAGUUUUUCGGAACCUCUGCUAGCAGGAAGUAAUAUUCUUGCGGACUGUGCUCUUUCACAUUCGACAUUACAGAAAAGUAGAGCACUUAGCCCAAGGUUUAUCACGUUGGUAAUUAUAAUAAGAAAAGCAGGUGCCGUGAAUGAAUUCCAAUGCUGACUUUCAGAAUUGCGUACAAGGAGGAGAGGUAAGAAAGGUGCUAUGCCCAAGGAAGCAUACUGAGCGGCGCCAUUCAAAGCUAGGUAACGGGUUCUUUGCUUUAGUGUUGUAAUUUUAGAGGUGUGAGAGCGAGCUAUGCUAAGGACACCGGCCGCAAUGCCGUGAGUAAGGCGAGAAAAUAUAAGCAACCACGGGUUUGGAAAAGAAUAAGCUAAAAGAUAAAGAGCAGAGCCUAAAAUAGCUAGCAAACUGGAAUGGAACCAAGCAUUCUACCGAUACUGAAUGAGGAGAUGGUAGCUCCAUUAAGAAAUUGUCUAGAAAAAUUUCCUUUCAC